rnacentral:rRNA from 1 species
AGAGUUUGAUCCUGGCUUAGGAUGAACGCUAGCGGCAGGCCUAAUACAUGCAAGUCGAACGGUAAAUGUCCCUCGGGGACAUGAGAGUGGCGGACGGGUGCGUAACGCGUAUGCAACCGAACCCCCCUCACCGGGAUAGCCGGUGGAAACGCCGGAUAAGACCGGAUGCGCCGGCGGGGAGGCAUCUCCCUGUCGGCAAGGCGGCGACGCGGAGGGGGACGGGCAUGCGUGCCAUUAGCUUGUUGCGGGGCGACGGCCCACCAAGGCUGCGAUGGCUAGGGGGAUCCUGAGAGGACGGUCCCCCACACUGGUACUGAGACACGGGACCAGACUCCUGCGGGAGGCAGCAGUAAGGGAUAUUGGUCAAUGGGGGGAACCCUGAACCAGCCAUGCCGCGUGAGGGAAUGAGGCCCUACGGGUCGUGAACCUCUUUUGCCUGGGGACAAUACGGGGCACGUGAUGCCCCGUUGAGGGUACCGGGCGAAUAAGCAUCGGCUAACUCCGUGCCAGCCGCGGC